rnacentral:lncRNA from 1 species
GGACCUUCAGUUGUUUCUUUCAAUGAAGCAGAUAGAAAAAGACGUAAAUAGCAAAGAUAAAUUCCUGCACUCGCCGUAGAAAGCGAGGUACAAGUUUUUCUUUCAUAUAAGAUGAACACAGCUAUCCAGAAAAUCAUGUCCGAUGUAAAAAGUUUUGGAGAAGUACGUUUUGAAGCUAAACCUAUCGAUAUUGUUCUUAUAAAGAAAAAGAACAAACAAGCCCAAAUCAUGAUACAAUCAAGAUCCAUUGAAAAUAUUAAACUAAAGUUAUACAAAACCAUUGACACUAAAGGAGAACGCAA